AGCGAACGCUGGCGGCAGGCCUAACACAUGCAAGUCGAACGAACCCUUCGGGGUUAGUGGCGGACGGGUGAGUAACACGUGGGAACGUGCCUUUAGGUUCGGAAUAACUCAGGGAAACUUGUGCUAAUACCGAAUGUGCCCUUCGGGGGAAAGAUUUAUCGCCUUUAGAGCGGCCCGCGUCUAAUUAGCUAGUUGGUGAGGUAAUGGCUCACCAAGGCUACGAUCAGUAGCUGGUCUGAGAGGAUGACCAGCCACAUUGGGACUGAGACACGGCCCAAACUCCUACGGGAGGCAGCAGUGGGGAAUCUUGCGCAAUGGGCGAAAGCCUGACGCAGCCAUGCCGCGUGGAUGAUGAAGGUCUUAGGAUUGUAAAAUCCUUUCACCGGUGAAGAUAAUGACUGUAGCCGGAGAAGAAGCCCCGGCUAACUUCGUGCCAGCCGCCGCAGUAA
rnacentral:rRNA from 1 species